CUUGGGGGAGUUAGGGCCAAAAUGUACCCUGCAAGUAGAACAGACUUACAUGACAAGAGAAACAGUUUCAACUAUUUCUUUAAAACACUGUUUCAUCUUGGAAUAUGCACUAUCCGAUACACUCAAUCUAAAAAAAAAGAACUUUAGAAAAUGAGCAUCCUUUCCCACUGACCCAAGCACCAAGCCUUUGCCGAAAGGUCUCUCAUUUCAAACAGUAACAGAAAGCUGCUGAUAGCUAUUCUUGGCCAGUGGCCUCUUUGGGGGUCAGGGUGGAUUUCACACUGGAAGGGAAACACAACUUAAAAGAAAUUCAGUUCCCUUUAGUUUGGUCCUAGCAAGAAUGGUUUUCUGAAACAUGUGCUCCCUGUGGGUGCUUCAGACAUCUGGGCUUUGGCUUCUAUGGCUAUGUCACAAUGCCGAGCUGUGUGGUCACACCAGGCUCUCCCUCUCAGGCACUGACAUCAGGGACACAUGAUCCCUGAUUGCAGGUCAGACCAAAGAGGUUAUGAAGCCACAAACGUGGGGAAAGCAGUAGGAACAUGGGAGGGCAGUGGCCAACUGAACUCGAAUCUGGACGGUGGUUCCUUUUCCCCCCAAAAGCACGUGCUUAACAAAGGAACAGUAGAAGCAGCCAGAAGCUUGGGACUGGACAGUUCACAGAGUUUGUGCUUCAACAGUAUGUUACAAAUGACUUGGUCAGCUUAAACUUCCAUCAAGUAUCGACUGAAACACUGUAAGACACAGGAGGAUAUGUGAGAGAAAACGUGGACCACGUCCCCCCCAGUAAGGGGUUGGGGGGAGCAGCAGAGCGGGCUGUCGGUUUAACAAGAGCAGAUCACAUUUUUCUGUCCUAUAGACAUAGGCAUGGACUGGCACACUGAUACAGUAUCCACUUUCUUCAUAAAGGGAUGAAGGCUGGAGACCAAGCCAUGGAUCUGAGGGGCAGAAGGUCAAAGCACGACCACGUGCUGGCAGCAGUCAGGAAGUAGGGGUUUAAAAAAAAUGCUCACCA